GAUUAAGAACGCAGCGAAAUGCUAUAAGUAAUGUGAAUUGCAGAAUUCAGUGAAUCAUCGAAUCUUUGAACGCACAUUGCGCCCCCUGGUAUUCCGGGGGGCAUGCCUGUUCGAGCGUCAUUUCACCACUCAAGCCUCGCUUGGUAUUGGGCAACGCGGUCCGCCGCGUGCCUCAAAUCGACCGGCUGGGUCUUCUGUCCCCUAAGCGUUGUGGAAACUAUUCGCUAAAGGGUGUUCGGGAGGCUACGCCGUAAAACAACCCCAUUUCUAAGGUUGACCUCGGAUCAGGUAGGGAUACCCGCUGAACUUAAGCAUAUCAAUAAGCGGAGGA
rnacentral:misc_RNA from 1 species